rnacentral:sRNA from 2 species
AAACGAGGCACGCUGAGUUCUGUUCGCCUCGCACAAUUACACAAAGAACAGAAGCGGAGGACCCAACCUUCGGAAACUCCCCUCCCGGAGCUUCCUUGGGGUGAAGUUGCUACUGCAACCGGGGCACCUCAGCCCGAACCCGACAGCUUACUUCGCAAGCGACAACAAGAGAGGACAU